rnacentral:rRNA from 1 species
UACAGAGGUCUCAACCGUUGUUCGGAUUCAUUGGGCGUAAAGGGUGCGUAGGCGGUCGCGCAAGUCGGAUGUGAAAUCUCAGGGCUCAACCCUGAAACUGCAUUCGAUACUGCGUGGCUAGAGUGCUGGAGAGGAGACUGGAAUUUACGGUGUAGCAGUGAAAUGCGUAGAUAUCGGAAGGAAGACCAGUGGCGAAGGCGAGUCUCUGGACAGCAACUGACGCUGAGGCACGAAGGCCAGGGGAGCAAACGGG